rnacentral:lncRNA from 1 species
AAAAAGAUUCUCAACCGAAAAUACCUCAAAAACAUAGAAAUCUUCAGAGAAAUUAUAUAAUACAUUUGAAUACAUAAAUUAUAUUAAUUAAAAAAAUAUAUGAAUACAUUCAUGGCAUAUAGCGAGACAGUGAAUACACUGAAAUACAUAGAAUACAGCGGGAUACAUUGAAAUACAAUAAAAAAAGACAGUGAGUACAAUGAAAUACAUGGAAUACAACGAGAUACAUUGAAUUAUAAUGAAAAAAAAGAUAAUGAAUACAAUGAAAUACAUGAAAAUACAGCGUGAUACGUUGAAAAUACAUUGAAAUAUAUUAACAGAAAAUCAAGUUGCUCAGCUCCAAACUCCGUCAUCUUUGUUCACGAACAAACCUAAUUUCCGACGAAUCUAUCGUCGAGCAAAAACCCUGAAGCUCACCAAAAAGGCCCUUCGUAUUCAAUCAAGUGCCCUUCGUAUUUGAUCAAAUCAUAAAGGCUGGGUUUCAGUCUCAUGGAAAGCUGCUUGUUUCUUCCCCGGAAUCGCUUUCUUCAAAGGGCCCUUCAUAACAGGAAAUCAAGUUGCUUCUGACCAUUUGUAUUUAAUCAAGUGUCUUUGUUCUCUUGUGAGCAGAGUCAGCACAAAUCCUUUUCACAACACAAUAAAGAAUCUGCUAUUGCAGCAAAAAAAUAUCCGAGCUUUUCCCAAAAGAACUCACUUUUGCUGGAAAGAGAAACUUUAUGAGUUAGUUAGGGUUCCGAUAGAGUAAAGGAUGACGGAACAGACUAUCACACCUUCUUUUUACCACCCGAAAGGGUAUAAGGGAGUUUUUAAAGUGACAUAAUUUGAAAUGAGAUUAUUUUAUUCAAAUUCAGAGCCGCUACUUGAGAUAUUUAUUAUGGUAUCCCAAGUCACUAGUUUAUUUUAAAAAUCCCAAAUCGAGGAAAUUUGACUUUAUUUAAAAGUCUGCAAACCAGAAAAUCUAGGUAAGGAAUUCUGUUAACCGGGGAGAAGGUGUUAGGCAUUCCCGGAUUCCGUGGUUCAAGCAUGAUCGCUUAACUAUUAAUAUUGGCCUAAUUAUCUGAUUAAUUACAUGUUUAAAACAUAUUGUGCAUUUUUAACUUUUUAACCGCUUUUAAUUAUUUAUGGAACUUAUUUUCUGGAACAAGUCACGAUUGUCGUACACUUGUUGUUUUGGUACACAUUGCAAAUCGCAUCACAUAAAAUGCACCCGCGACUUAAAACAUGUUUAUUUUAAUAAUAUUGUUCGAAGUUAUGGUCGGGUCACAUGAAAUGCACACCCGAGUUGGGAUUUACGUAUCAUGACCACGCUACGGGAACCGUACCCGUGAUCACGAUAAUUUUAUUAAUCGUGCUUAAAGCAAACUAUGAAUAUAUAUUAAUUAUUAUCCUAAAGUUAAUUUGAGAUUGUUGGAAGGCUAUUAAUUAUGGAUAAGCAUUAUAGGCAAGCAAUAUUUGCAUGGCACAAUGAAAGAGAAAAAAGUGGCUGAAUUUGUUCAAACUUGGUAUCAUUCUAAGCCCAAAUCACCGUAAUUUUUUCUUUUCUUUUCUUUUUAUUUGUUUGAUCUUAAGAAAUCCACACCUAAUUGCUUUCCAUCACCAUAAGUGAUAUUUUCAUACUUAUUCAAUUAAAACUUAGUUAAGCUAGCUGUAAACGAAAUAAACAAAUUAAAAUAGAAUACUAAAUAAUUAUAGUAAACCAUCAAAAGAAAACAAAAACAACUUAUGAAUAAGGAUCAAUUCAUUCAUUCAUGCUUCAAUAGUGUAACAUAACGAGGAAAAGAAUUAGAACCUGGAAUAACAAAACUCCUUUGAUAUAAAAUAAACCAGUGAGCAAAACUCAGAAAUCGGUAUCAAACAACAAUCUUUCAAGUAUUCAGAACCAAAACACUUAUAGUCAACCAAAAUCGUGGCGAAACCUCGACCUCAAACUUGCCGGAGCUGGACGAACCUUGUAUAUACUUAACUGGGUUUGGACGUUUUAAUGGUUGAGAUUUGAACUGUUUUUGCCAAUGAUUUUAAUGGAAUUUUCAGCUGGUUUUUGAGGAAUUUCUCAGCUCACUUCCAUGGCUGAAAUGGAGUUUUCAGUCAGCUUUAUUGAAGUGGAGAAAGAGCAUCAAUGGGUGUUGGAAAUGGAGCCGAUUUUUAGGGUGUGUUUGUUGGAGAAGAAAGGUCCUCCCCCUGUAUUGUGUACUGCCCGUUUCUUUUUAGAGAAUUAGGAUGGUUUUUUUUUUGGUGUUCUCCAGCUCUCCAUUUUUUAUGUUAGCUCUCACUCUCUGUUUUCGUCAUUGGAGAUGAUGGUAUCCUUUUCCCUUUUUUUGGAAUUUGCCGUUUUUGUUUUAGUCUAAGUCUAGGUCUUCUAGGAAUAGAGUGUUAAAUGGAGGG